rnacentral:rRNA from 1 species
UUUCCGUAGGUGAACCUGUGGAAGGAUCAUUA